rnacentral:rRNA from 1 species
CACGCUGUAAACGAUGGAUGCUAGGUGUAGGAGGUAUCGACCCCUUCUGUGCCGGAGCAAACGCAAUAAGCAUCCCGCCUGGGGAGUACGGCCGCAAGGUUGAAACUCAAAGGAAUUGACGGGGGCCCGCACAAGCAGCGGAGCAUGUGGUUUAAUUCGAAGCAACGCGAAGAACCUUACCAGGUUUUGACAUCCAAUUAAAGCUGUGGAAACACAGUGUCUCGCAAGAGGAAUUGAGACAGGUGG